rnacentral:rRNA from 1 species
UACGUAGGGCGCAAGCGUUGUCCGGAAUUAUUGGGCGUAAAGAGCUCGUAGGCGGCCUGUUGCGUCCGCUGUGAAAUCCCGGGGCUCAACUCCGGGCCUGCAGUGGAUACGGGCUGGCUGGAGGCAGGCAGGGGAGAACGGAAUUCCUGGUGUAGCGGUGAAAUGCGCAGAUAUCAGGAAGAACACCGAUGGCGAAGGCAGAUCUCUGGGCCGUAACUGACGCUGAGGAGCGGAAAGCAUGGGGAGCGAACAGG